rnacentral:rRNA from 1 species
UACGAAGGGGGCUAGCGUUGUUCGGAAUCACUGGGCGUAAAGCGCACGUAGGCGGAUUGUUAAGUCAGGGGUGAAAUCCCGGGGCUCAACCUCGGAAUUGCCUUUGAUACUGUCUAUCUCGAGUUCGGGAGAGGUUGGCGGAAUUCCUAGUGUAGAGGUGAAAUUCGUAGAUAUCAGGAGGAACACCGGUGGCGAAAGCGCUCAUCUGGCCCAAUACUGACGCUGAGGCGCGAAAGCUAGGGGAGCAAACGGG